GAUGAACGCUGGCGGCGUGCUUAACACAUGCAAGUCGAGCGAAGCACUUGGAACCGAUCCUUCGGGUGAAGUUCCAUUUGACUGAGCGGCGGACGGGUGAGUAACGCGUGGGUAACCUGCCUCAUACAGGGGAAUAACAGUUUGAAAAGACUGCUAAUGCCGCAUAAGCGCACAGGGCCGCAUGGCCCGGUGUGAAAAACUCCGGUGGUAUGAGAUGGACCCGCGUCUGAUUAGCUAGUUGGUGAGGUAACGGCCCACCAAGGCGACGAUCAGUAGCCGACCUGAGAGGGUGACCGGCCACAUUGGGACUGAGACACGGCCCAAACUCCUACGGGAGGCAGUAGUGGGGAAUAUUGCACAGUGGGGGAAACCCUGAUGCAGCGACGCCGCGUGGAUGAAGAAGUAUUUCGGUAUGUAAGGUCCUAUCAGCAGGGAAGAAAAUGACAGUACCUGACUAAGAAGCCCCGGCUAACUACGUGCCAGCCGCCGCCGUAA
rnacentral:rRNA from 1 species